UGGUAAGAGACGGAUGGAUAUAGUGGAAGGGCUUGUCACCCUGCACAGUCUCAUAUCUCGUCCUUGCCACGGACUUGACUCCUGGGACUGUCUGUGAGGCACAGGACUACCUUUUAAUGAAGGAGGAAGAAAGCAGUGAGCAUCCAAAUCCGUUCUUAGCAGAAGCCUUGCAAACACCAGACUGUGUGAUGUGUAUCUCAUCAACACUUUAUAAAGGAACCAAGAUUGGGAAGACUUGAAUGAUUGCCAAAAUCAUAGAAACAAAAGUAAGCAUAGAAACAAAAUGGAAGUGUGUGCUUCACUUCAAAAUCCACGUUCGACCCACUGUAGUCGCUCAGAAUCAAUCCCCCCUUCAUGCCAUCCUUUUAAUAGCAAUGAGCAGGCCGGUAGAUGAUGGACUAUAGUCUCGGAAGUGCUGGAGGAUGCAUCCCCCCUAUUUUCAAGGACAGCUGGAAAGCUCACAAAUAAAACCAUGACAAUCUACAGAUUGCGGAGGGAAGCCACAAAAGCCCAUUCCCAUUGCAGUUGACUCUUGGGGUGGUUUUGACAAACGUGUUUGUAUUGAAUAUUGCUCUGCAGUGUCAACAGCCAGCCCUUGUGAAGGUGAACACCGUGAGAAACGCCCCGAUGACUGGUUGUGAUGCAGGGAUUUAACGUAGAGUUGCUUCCUGAGUUCCCCACACUGCUUUCUCCCCAAUCACAUUCCAGUAGAAUGAAAUUUGGGGAUAUCUUACAAUCAGAACUCUACUUGUUGUAACUGGAUAAAGUGUUGACAUUCUCUGAGAUAUAUAGGAGUAUAGCGAAGAGUAUUGGAAUAUAAUCUUGUCCCAAGAUUUGCAUUUCUAGUUUUAAAUACUAAUUAAAAAGAACUUCAAAAAGUUCAUGACAGGCAACACUAAAAGAUUAGUUUGGUGCAAAAACCUUCUGAAGUCCAUGUGUAUAAGAUGUAUUCUAAAACUUGAUGGGCCAGCGCCGCAGCUCACUUGGCUAAUCCUCUGCCUGUGGUGCCAGCACUCUGGGUUCUAGUCCUGGUUGCCCCUCUUCCAGUCCAGCUCUCUGCUGUGGCCCGGGAGUGCAGUGGAGGAUGGCCCAAGUGCUUGGGCCCUGCACCCACAUGGGAGACCAGGAGAAGCACCUGGCUUCUUGCUUCGGAUCGGCACAGCGUGCCGGCCGUAGUGGCCAUUUGGGGGGUGAACCAAUGGAAGGAAGACCUUUCUGUCUGUCUGUCUCUCUCUCUCUCACUAUUUAACUCUAUCUGUCAAAUAAAAUAUCAAUUUAAAAAAACCCUAAAAUUAUGAAAAAUGUGUGUAGCUUUUACAGCUUUUUUGCACGCGAAUCAUGUUUAAUUCAAAUUUUCCACAACCCUUUUGAAGUAAGCAGAGAUGCACGUAGGCUUACAGAUUGGAGAUUACACUGCUUUCAUUAGAGGCAAAAUGCAAAAAGCAUUUGCAGUUGAAAAAUGGGAUUUUCCAGCAUGAGGUGUACAGAAUCAAAAGCUUCCUUACAAUUGUGCUAUAAUUUUACAAAAAAUACUCACAUUGCUUUUGUAUGUGAUCACCACCUUCCUGUGAGACUGAUCAGCUCGUGGGGAGUCUUGGUUGUCCUGAAGUAGUUCAUAUCCAAGAAGAGACGUAUAGAAAGCCCAGCUCAGUGAGGACAGCAGAGUUACACAGGUGGACAGGUGGCUGUGGAGGGCAGUCCAGUCAGGAGGCCUUGGGAACCCCCACUCUGUGGUUCCGUCCCUCCCUCAUUGAUGGCUCUGAGUCUGAAGAUAGCCCAGCUAGCUCUGAAUGUGUGCUCACUGUCACAUCCUGGGCACCUUUGUCUUUUUACCUAAACACCUGGUGUUAGCAAAGGAUGUGAUCCCACAUGGCUAUGAGGUGUCCAAAGGAGUUAGGUAUUUGAAACCUCCCCUUUCUCCAUCCUCCCCACGCUUGAGAUUCAAAACAUCCCUUUCAGUAUUUUUUAUAGAAAUCUAAAUGAAGUCAACCAUCUAAUACAGUUUUAAAGCACAAUGCCUUUCUUGUAUUGUGCAGUAGUUCCUAUUCAUUUCAGCUAGAAAACUAUUUUCAGGAAGAUUCCAAUGGGUAAUAAAAACAAGAGUCUGACCUGCGAAAUCAAACUACAACCUCUAUAUCCUUGCACAGUGUUAAGAGUUUAGAAGCUAAAUAAAUCACGGCCAGCACUGUGGCACAGUAGGUUUAGUCACCACCUGCAGUGCUGGCAUCACACACAGGUGUUGGUUCAUUUCCUGGCGGCUCCACUCAAGUUACAGCUCUCUGCUAAUGUGCCUGGGAAAGCAGCAUAGGAUGGCCCACGUGCUUGGGCCACUGCACCCAUGUGGGAGACCUGGAGGAGGCUCCCAGCUUUGGAAUGGCCCAGCUCCAGCUAUUGCAGCUAUUAGGAGAGUGACCCAGCAGAUGGACGACCUUUGUCCCUGUCUCUCCCUCUGUACCUCCACCUCUCAAAUGAUUUUUUUUUUUUUUGACAGGCAGAGUGGACAGUGAGAGAGACAGACAGAGAGAAAGGUCUUCCUUUGCCAUUGGUUCACCCUCCGAUGGCCGCCAUGGCCGGCGCGCUGCGGCCAGCACACGGCGCUGAUCUGAAGCCAGGAGCCAGGUGUUUCUCCUGGUCUCCCAUGCAUGUGGGUGCAGGGCCCAAGCACUUGGGCCAUCCUCCACUGCACUCCCUGGCCACAGCAGAGAGCUGGCCUGGAAGAGGGGCAACCGGGACAGAAUCCCGCGGCGCCCCAACUGGGACUAGAACCUGGUGUGCCGGCACUGCACGUGGAGGAUUAGCCUAUUAAGCCGCAGCACUGGCCUCAAAUUAAUCUUUUUUAAAAGAAGCUAAACAAACCUAGUCUACUCAACUGUUAUAUAAAUACAUUUUACAGUUCUCAGUUUUCAUUUGUGCUAGAAGAUGAUGCUUCAGCCCCAUUCACAGAACUACAGGGAUUUAAUAAUUAAAUGAAGUGUGCUAUUUUUGGGGGAAGAACCAGCUCAUGCUUCAGAAAUGGUUUUUUGCUCUUGCAUUUACCUUUAGGGGUCCAGCUGUGGAGUUUGGAAGUUGCAGAGAUCUAAGCCUGGCUGUUUGGAUGCAGAGGUUUUAUGAGUCAAGGAUGUUGGCCUUGGGGCUUGAUGGUCUCAGCUUUUAGUCUGUGGACAUUAUGACCUAAGAGACAACACGCAGGUGGAACUGCCUGUCCACCCUCCCUGUUCACUGCUUCACCGGAAGCACGUUGCCUACAGCAGGUAACACACUGGGUUCUGAGAAUGGCCAAAUGUGAGCCCGUAGGAAGAAUUAGGAAUAAUUGGAGUGUACAGUUGUAGAGCGGGGGUAGUUUUAAACCACCACCACAGGUGAGAUAAAUACUUCUUCUGGGACUCUCAAAAAUCAUCUGUUAGAAUCUUCCCUUCACACACACACUCACACACACACACAAGGAUUCUGGCAACCACUGGCCAACUUUGAAUUGUUGCAGUAGCAAUAAGGGAAGUCAAGAAGUAGAUCUGUAUUUCGUUGCUUGCGUACAGUUUGUUGCCUUUGGUGUGUGUGCAUUUCCUUCCAAGUGUGAGAAGACUGCUCUUGCUGCUGAGUGGUAUUGCUGCCUUUCAAGGCCUCACAGUUUGUGUAUUCCCUGGCUAAUGGAUGUUUGCGUUCUUUUCCAGUUUGGGGUUGUUAAGAAUGAAGCUGUUAUUAACACUUGUGAACAAGUGUUUCAGUGGGCAUAUGUCUUAAUUUCUCUUGGGCAAAUCCUAGAAGUGUGUUGUUGGUUUCAUGGUUAGUAUAUGUCUGAUUUCAUAAGAACAGCUUAGUUGCCUCGCACAGUGGCUACAUCAUUUUGUAUUCUACACAGCAUCAUGUAUGAAUUUCAGUUGAACCAUAUCCUCAGUGACACUUGGUAUUUUGCUUCUCUUAAUUUUGGUCAUUCUAGUUGGCGUUACUGAUAUAAGGACAGUUUUAAUUUGUGUUUCUCUAAAGCAUAAUAUUAAUGUUUUCAUGUACUUUAUCAUUUUGUGUGUGUGGUAAAGUGUCCGCUCAGAUCCUUAACUCAUUUAUUUGACUAUUUUACUAUCUUUGAAUUGUAAGAAAGAUUUAUAAUCAGUAUGUGUCCCUUAUUAGGUGUAUAUUUUACGACAUAUUCUGCUGGAAUAGAGCUCUAAAUUUCAUUUUACUUGUGCUGUCUCAAAAGUACUCAGAAUUUUUUUGAAAAACCCCUUAAUUCCUGCGUUGGUCUUUAAAAUGUAGGCUCUCUGCUUCCUUACCUAGUUAAAUUUUCCUCACUGUUAGCAUCUAGAACAGUUAUAGUUCACAUUCUUUUACUUAAGCUAUAAUCCAUUUCACUUACAUUUUUAAUUUGUUGUACAGGAAAUGAUGGCGUUUUUCCUGUAUUGAUUUUCAUUUCUUUGGAUAAUACUUGUUGAAAAUGUCAUCACUCCUCUAUUAACUGCCUGCCUUCUUCAAAAAUCAAUUUGUCACUUAUAGUGGAUUUAUUUCUGUAUUACCCGUCUGUUCUGUUCGUUUGAUGCGUUACAUCUUUAUGUGAUUUCCACACUGUUCUGAUAACUGUGGCUUUAAGACAAGCUUUGAAGUCAGAUGGCGUGAGUCCCUCUGUUUCUAUUUUUUCCCCCAACAUUGUUUUCCAUUAUAAAUUCUUUGCUUUCCUGUAUUUUCUGUGUUUAGAGUGUUUAUCACUUUCUCAAAAAAUCCUUUGGGGAUUUUGAUUAGGAUUCCAAUAAGUUGAUAAAUGAACUUUAUAUAAAUUCAUACUUUAACAGUAUUAAGCACAAUAUAUUGGAUUUCUUUAGUUACACAAAUACAUAUCCCUAACAUUCAGCAAUUUUAUGCUUUUCUGCUAUAUGAUAAUUUAGCUUUCAUGUCUUUGUUGCUAACAUGUGUAUGCACUUUUCAUAUUUUGUACAUUGGUGUUGUAUCCUAUAAAUCAACUUGUUAGUUGUAAGCCUUUUUGUAGAUUCUCUAAGAUUUUCUGAAUAGGUGGUCUGUGAAUGAGGACUUCCUGUCUCCUCCUCUGUGAAGUGAAUGCCCUGGACGUUUGCUUUCUUGUCCGGCUCACUGGGUGUGAUACCUGGUACCACACUGUUGGAUAGGUGUGACGUCAUCAGUCAUGCUUCAUGACAGUCUUCUGCGGAAAAGAUGGACUGUGCCAGCCCUCACUGGGACUCCAUUCUGAUAAAUGCUUAUUAGUCAGGAAAAUUCACCUGAAUUCCUAGUUUUCAGGAAGUUCGAUUUUUAGCCACUAUUCUGUACUAAAUUUUUUCCCAAAGCUUUUGUCUGUGUGCAUUGAGAUGGUCAUGUAUUGGAUUUUUAUUGGUUUUCUCUUCCCUCUUUAUCUCUCUCCCUCCCUCUCUAUUAUGUGGUAAAUUACAUUGAUUGAUAUCCACGUAUUACUUCUUUUUUAAAGAUUGAUUUAUUUUACUUGAAAGUCAGAGUUACACAUAAGAGAAAAGGAGAGAGAGAAAGAGAGAAAGAGAGAGAGAGAGAGAAAGAAAGAGAGAAAGAAAGACAGACAGACAGACAGACAGAGGUCUUCUAUCUGCUGGUUCAUUCCCCAAUUGACUGCAAUGGCCGGAGCUGUGCCAAUCUGCAGCCAGGAGCCAGGAGCUUCUUCCAGGUCUCACACGCGGAUGCAGGGGCCCAAGCACUUAGGCCAUCUUCUACUGCUUUCCCAGGCCACAGCAAAGAGCUGGAUUGGAAGUGGAGCAGCCAGGACUCGAACCAGUGCCCAUAUGGGAUGCCAGCACUGUAGGUGGUGACCCUACCUGCUACAUCGCAGCGCCGGCCCCCACAUAGUACUUCUUAAGACAAAUUCCACUUGCCGUACUAUCCUGUUAAUAUUGCUUAAUCCAGCAUGAUAAAAAAGUUUUAAAGAUUUUGCUUCUACAUUAGUGAUGGAUAUUUGUAGUUAUCUUUUAUGGUAAUUUCUGAUUUUAUUAUCGGUGUGGUACUGGCUUUGUGGAUUAAGUUGGGGAGGGUUUGCAGCUUCUUUGUUGUAUGAGUUGUUGUUGAGUCAGCGCUGCUCCUUUGACCAUGUUUGGUAGGGCUUGUAGUUUUCUUUGAGGGAAGAUUUUUAAUUAAGGAUUUAUUUCUUUUAUGGUCAUAAGAUUAUUCAAGUUGUGUUCAAGUUAUCUAAGGUGUACAAAUGACCGAGAGUUAUCAGAAAGAAAAAAGCUUGUUCAGCAUCAUUAGUUAUCAGGAAAACGUAAGUUAAAAACACACUGAGACAUUAUCUCAUGUGUUCGAAUGGCUAUUAAAAAACAGAUAAUAGUAAAUGAAGUUGAGAAAAAUGGAGCUCUUGUAUACUGUGAGUGGGCGUACAAAUGAGUACAGCCAUGACAGGAAACAGCAUGGUGUCCUCAAAAUAUUCAAAAUAGAACUACCGAUGACCCAGGAGUUGUGCUGAGGACUCACAGGACAUGAAAUCAGCAUGUCAGAAACCACAUGCACUCCCAUGUUCAUUGCAGCUCCGCUCACACUGGCUGAGACAGGUCACUGACCUAGGAAUGCAUGGAAGUGUGACAGAAAUAAGCAGUCGGAUAAUGAAGGACACAAUGACCAUUGCAGGAAGAUCGGUGGACCUGAGGACAUGAGUUAAAACACGCCCAGUGCAGACUGAGCAGAAUGGCAGGUACUGUGGGGUUCCCCUGAUGGGAGCGUGGCAAAGGCUGAGGCUGUGGAAUCAGUAAAGCCGUGGCUCACAGAGACUGGGAGUGAGGGCAUUGGGCAGAGAUGCUGAUUAAAGGGCACAGAAUUUGACUAAGACGUGAAUGCGUUCAAGGGCGCCAUGGCACAGCGUAGAGACCACACUUGAAAGUAGCUUAGAUCUUAAGGAUGUUCAUUGUACAAAGAAAAGAUGAGGGAGGUCCUGAAUAUGUGCAAUAGCUCAUCGUAGCCACUUCACAAUCUCUGUGUUGACAGAGAUGUUGUCUACACCCUGAAGAGGUAGGAUGUCGGAUCUGCCUACUCACUUUAUAGAAAAGUGUAUACUUGUGCAGAUUUUAAGAAGUACUUCCUUGUUCUCCCACGUGUGUGGAAUCUGCGGUGAUGCCCUGUUCUAUUCCUGAUAGGGACAGCUCAUCUUCUCUUACUUUGCCUGUUCGGUCUGGUUAGCAGGUUAUCAAUCUUAUCGAUCUUCUCUUAGUUUCAUUAAUUUUCUCAGUUUAGAAGCAUUGAUUUCUGCUGUUAAUGUAUUAUUUUCUUCCUGCUGUUGUUCGUAAGGAAGGGUUAAUGUGCUCUUCUGCUAGUUUCUAGUGGAAACAGGUGAUUUAUCUGCGAUGUCUCACCUUCUCUGCCAGAAGCAUUUAAUUCUGGGAGUAGUCGUGUGUCUGCAUACGCCCUGUAAAUACUUGCAGAUUCACUUUAUUCCUCCAUUUAGUUUGAGGAAUUCCAUAGUUAGCCUUGUGACAACUUCACUGGACUGGACUUCUUUUGUUAAGUCGGCUUUUUAAUUUCUGAUUUGGGGGAAUUUCUUGCUAUCUAUUUCUUUAGAUUUCUAGUAGAAUUCGGAUCUAUUCCAAGUCGUGCUGUCUGUGACUUGAAUCACUUGAAAUAUGUUGAAGUUAGUUGAUUUCUGUGCUUGCUCUGCCGUGUCAUGUCUGUUGCUCUUCUCUCCCACUGAACACCCAGAUUCCCACCCGUGUCCUUUCCCUUCUGACCGAAGGACUUCUUCAACAUCUAACGUUGUUUAAAUUCCAGGCCCUGAGAAAGACAACUAUGAAAUUUAGCUUGUCUGAAAAUAGGUUUAUUUUGCCUUACUUUUAAUUUUUUUUUUUCAUUGAAAAGCAAAGAGACAGAGACAAAAACAAAGUCAGACAGUCCCCACCUACCGGCUCACUUCUCAAACUCCCACAGUGGCCCGGGGGUGGGGAUGAAGCUGGGAGGAGCUCGGUCUGGGUCUCCCACAUUGGCUGUAGGAGCCGAAUUACGUGAGCUGUCUGCUGCCUCCCUCCUGCACUGGCAGCAGCUGGAGCCAGGCAUCAAACUCAGGUCUCAGAUGCGGGAUGCUGACGUCAGGAGUGGCCUCUUUACCCCGUGGCUGGACAAGAGCUGCUGGCCUGUAGAUUUGAAGACUGUUUUGCUGGAUGCGCUAUAAUGUCCGGAUCCCCCCCACUUUAUUCAUAUAUCAUAUAUCACUGUUAACAACCAUCUGGUUUGCAUAGUCUGAGGGCAGCUGCCGCUGUGGUUUUAGGUUUUCUUUCAAUAUAGACAUUUAUUAUUGCUUCAAAAAAUUUCUCCUUAUGAACAGCUUGGAGGAGAUUUUUUUGUUUGUUUAUUCUGUUGUAGUUUCAUUAUAUAUCUGGAUCUGUGGCUUAGAGUUUGUGUCACCUCGCAGAAUAUUAGAUAAUUUCUUUGGUUUUUCUUUUUUUGGUCUGUCUCCUUUCUCUCUUACACUCGUGUUCUCUGUGUGUUCAGUUGUUUUACAUUUUAGAAGGGUUCACCAAUAUUCUGCCCUCUCUUUUUUUUUCUUUUUUUAAAGAUUUUAGCCAGGAGCUUCUUCUGGAUUCCCCACGUGGGUGCAUGAGCCAAGGUACUUGGGCCAUCGUCCACUGCUUUCCCAGGCCAUAGCAGGGAGCUGGAUUGGAAGAGGAGCAGCUGGUACUACUAGAACUUGACUCAUAUGGGAUGCCGAUGCCGCGGGCUGAGGCUUAGCCGACUAUACCACAGCGCCGGCCACUUAUUUUCCUUUUGAACUCUUUCCUCUUACUAUUUGAUUUUGAGUGAUCUCCAUUUUUACCUGGUCACGUUGAUGAUUCUCAUUCAUUUCUCCUUACCGCAUGCUUUAUAUUGUAGUUGGGAUAUUUCCACCUACAGAAUUCCCACGUGGAUAGUGUUCAUUCUUCUCAUUUCUUCAUGCUGAUGAGCCUGCUGUCCUGCAUUGGGUCCAGUCCUGGGCAGCUCUAGCCCUCGGCUUCUGUGGCUGAGACCACCAUUGUGUCAGUGCCGUGGUCAGCCUGCGGGAUUCCUCACCUGCUCCCUCAGGUUUGCUCAUUGCCCAGAAACCUGUCCAGGUCAGUGUUCUGCCAAAGCCCCGGGGAGAAUUCUCCGGAGUUCUUCAAUCUGCUUCUCUCUUGAUGCAUUUCUAUGCCUCUCUUCCCCCUCGUCCCAGAGCUCCUCUCUCUACUGUCUGUGGAAGUCUGGGUGUCGUGGCUGUGGGUCUGCCUGAAACUUAGACCCAGGGACUCAGUUCAGUGAGGCUGGCAGACUGUGUGGGUUCCCCUUGCAUGAGCCAUGGCCUGGGCUUUGUCCUGGCUCCUAGCUCUGACCCAGGGUAACUGUGGGGCUCCCUUGUUCUGUUUGCUCCGAGUAUCUGAGUGCCCAGUCCAGCUUUCCGUCAGUCCAGAUGGGUGCAUUAAUUUGGCUUCUUGAAUCCCAUCUUGACCCCAAAGAAAAAGUUGUUCAGGUUUUUUUUCUGUUGAAGGAGACGAGUUACUUCUCAAUGUUACUGCAUCUACAUUUGUGGUUUGGACAGAUGGCGAUGACCACAGUCGCACCCACAGAGGGAUAUGAAGCAGGUGCGUGGGGCUUCACGUGGGACAAGAGCUUCUCAAGGCUGUGACCGAUGAUACUGGUUUAGGUGACCGAGGGAACGCUGUCCACGCACUCAGAGGGAAGGCAGUGUGGGGAGGUGGCCUCAGAGGACGGAAGUCUCAGUAGCCUCCCAGCUGGGAACUGGAGUGGUGCGAAGAGGCCCUUUGCUCUGGGCUGUAGGCAAACAGAAGGCAUCAAGUUGCCCUGUAGGGCCCCUGCCGUUGACUCUGCAACCCUCAGUGUUCUGGGGAGGAGUUUGCCUCAACCUCAGUGUCCUCCUACUGGUUCCUUAUUGCUUAGGCCAAAUGCACAUUUGUGGUUUUCCCUGCUACCUGUCCCCAUGCUUUCCUCUACUCUCACCCCUCCCACACUCCUGUCCCCCCUACCUUUUCCUCCCUCCCUCUUGCCCCUCCCCUUCCCAGGCCUCCCACAACUCUCCUAGUUCCCUUCCCCAACCUCCUUCCCCUUCCUCCCACAAAUAUCCCCUUGUAUCUACUACCUCCUUUUGUAGAGAAUUGGUUGUUUUUUUAUGCUUGUUUUCAAAGAGUGAGAUAAUUAAGAGAAAAACCUUACGUAUUUUUCUCCUAAAAAUAGUGCCAUGUUUUAUCACAUCAUUAACUUGGGUUUGAAUGCCUUCAUUACAUUCAUGCUAUAAUUUAGUGCUUGAUUUUGCUCAAGACUCCAUCAAUGUCCUUAUUAGUUUUAAGGGUGUGAAAAUGGCAUUUUCUUAUCUAAUUCGGUUCUCUGAAUGAUGCUGCAGUACAAUUAAGCACUCUCAUUUGGACUUUGCAGGGUAGGUCUCUACAUAUGGUAAGAAUGACUGAAAAUACGAAGAGUUUCAAUAAGGUUCAUUUCAAGACUGGUUUGAAACGCUUCACUCAUAAGUAAAUAAAUAAAUAAAUAAGCAGGACAGCUCCAAAGCUCCGGCAGCACAGUGCUGCCCCUGAGAGAUGCCCAGGAAUCUCCUUGGAAGGAGUAGACAGGAAAGAUUCUCAAUUAACAUAUGGAUGAUUUCUAUGCAAAUGAAGGCUUCUUGGACACUCAGCUCUAGGGGAUGUUUG